rnacentral:rRNA from 1 species
UUGAGCGAUUUACUUCGGUAAAGAGCGGCGGACGGGUGAGUAACGCGUGGGUAACCUACCCUGUACACACGGAUAACAUACCGAAAGGUAUGCUAAUACGGGAUAAUAUAUUUGAGAGGCAUCUCUUAAAUAUCAAAGGUGAGCCAGUACAGGAUGGACCCGCGUCUGAUUAGCUAGUUGGUAAGGUAACGGCUUACCAAGGCGACGAUCAGUAGCCGACCUGAGAGGGUGAUCGGCCACAUUGGAACUGAG